AUCUUUUUGGAGAUUCCUGUAUGUCUGAGGCUUCCUGAAGUCCAGUUUCCCAGGGAUGUCUUGUCCAAAUGGCCUCACACUUUCCCGAAAUAUUUUCCUCUGGCUACAGACCAAACACAAGAACUUUGGCAUCAUCCUCAAAAGAAAACAAACAAGCUGCUAGUCGGUGAAAGAAAGGAAAAGAAAAAAAAUCUUCAAAUCAUGUUUAGCCCCAUCUGGCCUUAGAAAAACAUGGAAAUGGGUGAUCAAGUACAUUUUCCAGGAUGGGCUGCCUUUCAAGGGAAACAAAAUGUGGAUAUUUCUAUGUCUAGACCACAGAAGAAAAAAAUGCUUCAGUGCUAAUUAACCCAUCAAAAGCUUACAAACCUUGAGUGGUGCUCGGCAACAUAUGUAGAGAAGUUAAAAGAUUUAAGCUGCCAAAGGAAGUGCGGGAGACUACAGCCUGAGAUCAGGAGAUCUGAGUCCUACUGCUUACUCUUCCUCCAACUUGCUCUUUUUUUGGGUUGCUUCAGUAGCUCAGCUUAUUGCCGCCUCAUUUUCCCUCACUGAAAAAUGGGGUUGUGAUAAUACUUUCUCUCCAAGAGCUCUCCAGUAUCAGGAGAUGAGAAAUACUAUGAAACAAGUGCUAAGUCUCUCUUUCCGGCAUGGUAUAUGCUCUAUCUGGCCAUUGUCUAGGUAGAAAUUGCAUUCUCUGAGGUUAUGUGCUGGAUGUUAAGUCAGCCACUGAGUAAGAGCUUGUUUAGGGCCAGCGAUACUGCUGAAUGACCAUCUAUACCUGAAAGUAGUGUUAGAUCAGUGAGAAACGUAUACUGUGAACAUGCUUUUAAAAGGUAGUUUCAGUAUAAAUGGGAAUGAAUAAACAGAAUAUUUC
ensembl:lncRNA